UGACCGCCAUUAUUGGCUAAGGCUACACGGACGGCCGGGUCAAAUGCCGA
rnacentral:sRNA from 12 species